rnacentral:rRNA from 1 species
GCUCAGGACGAACGCUGGCGGCGUGCCUAAUACAUGCAAGUCGUACGCUUCUUUUUCCACCGGAGCUUGCUCCACCGGAAAAAGAAGAGUGGCGAACGGGUGAGUAACACGUGGGUAACCUGCCCAUCAGAAGGGGAUAACACUUGGAAACAGGUGCUAAUACCGUAUAACAAUCGAAACCGCAUGGUUUUGAUUUGAAAGGCGCUUUCGGGUGUCGCUGAUGGAUGGACCCGCGGUGCAUUAGCUAGUUGGUGAGGUAACGGCUCACCAAGGCCACGAUGCAUAGCCGACCUGAGAGGGUGAUCGGCCACAUUGGGACUGAGACACGGCCCAAACUCCUACGGGAGGCAGCAGUAGGGAAUCUUCGGCAAUGGACGAAAGUCUGACCCGAGCAACGCCGCGUGAGUGAAGAAGGUUUUCGGAUCGUAAAACUCUGUUGUUAGAGAAGAACAAGGAUGAGAGUAACUGUUCAUCCCUUGACGGUAUCUAACCAGAAAGCCACGGCUAACUACGUGCCAGCAGCCGCGGUAAUACGUAGGUGGCAAGCGUUGUCCGGAUUUAUUGGGCGUAAAGCGAGCGCAGGCGGUUUCUUAAGUCUGAUGUGAAAGCCCCCGGCUCAACCGGGGAGGGUCAUUGGAAACUGGGAGACUUGAGUGCAGAAGAGGAGAGUGGAAUUCCAUGUGUAGCGGUGAAAUGCGUAGAUAUAUGGAGGAACACCAGUGGCGAAGGCGGCUCUCUGGUCUGUAACUGACGCUGAGGCUCGAAAGCGUGGGGAGCAAACAGGAUUAGAUACCCUGGUAGUCCACGCCGUAAACGAUGAGUGCUAAGUGUUGGAGGGUUUCCGCCCUUCAGUGCUGCAGCUAACGCAUUAAGCACUCCGCCUGGGGAGUACGACCGCAAGGUUGA